UCUUGACCUCGGAUCAGGUAGGGAUACCCGCUGAACUUAAGCAUAC
rnacentral:rRNA from 1 species